AAGUGCGCGGUACCGGCUUUUAACUCCCUGAAGUAGUCUGCGAUCGGGUAUAAAAUAGUCUCGCUCCUUGAAUAAAUAAAAUGGCCAGCAGGCAGGAAAUUUGAAAACAAACAAGAGACCACAAGCAUGGAGUACGCCCCAAGUUUGAUUACACAUCGACCCCUGGAGCGAGGACUUAACCCGACGGCAGCUGCAUCAGUUUCAGUUCUCCGAGGGACAUGUAGAUGGAUACUCUGGGCCCUCAUCUGCGUCUUCGCGUGUGUUUGUGUGUUUUUAUAACAUUUGUGGAUUACGCCUAUAAAAACUACACUUCACCGCGAAGCCAGCGAAGUGGGCACCAGCUACAACAAAGGACAACAAUUAUUCUGCAAAAAUGAUACAACCUGUCGCUCGAGAGAUUACAAACGGAGCUGCUUUUAUGGUUUGUUCCGCUUUUGUUUAACGAUUCCGAGGAUCACACGUAAUAACCCACGCAAUCCACCACCGAAGUCGGAAAACCGACUCAACGGAACGCAGCGCAACUUGACUCAACCGAAACUCGACACUUAUCCCUGGGAACUCAAAAUAGUGUUUUAUUGUUGGAAAUUACGAUUCUUUUAUUUAUUUACUUUUUCUGCAUUUCUUUGCCGCCCCACACACACCCACCGUUUCAAUUUUUAUAUGUUUAUUACGGUUAUUAUCGCUUAAUGGGGCUCGCUCGCUGGUUAUUGCUGUUGUUGUGUUGCUUGCACCAGUAGUUGUGUCAGACUAACGUGUGAAGUUGUUUUAUUAUUUGUUUUGAUUAUCAAAAUGGGCGUUUUACAUUUUUCCGGUCGUUGGGCGGCCCACCUGCCACGGGCCCACCGCUUAUAGUCCACAUCCCAUAACCCCGGGGCAAGGGCAGUAAAUCACGGCCCGCUGUGAGUGGCUGAGUACCUGGGCAGCAGUACACUUGAAAAAUAAUAACCCUUCUCUUUUAAAAUAUUGGACGGCUAGACAUAAUAUUCAAUUACAAAUACAUCACAGCAAUAAACCAUUUUUCGGGCUUCUAUAACAAGUUGAAUUAACCUAAAGAACUUUUUAAUUUAUUUAAAAACCAUUUUGAAUUUAUUUAGUUAAAUUUAGUUACUUAAAAUGUUCCAUCAUGUAUAAAUUAGUAAUAUGUCAUAAAAAUAGUUUAAUUCAAUACUAUUUCGUUACAAUAAUACGAAUUUUGCAUCAUCAAAGGUUAUACAAAAUAAAAUUACCAGUUAUAUUUUCAGUGCAUGAGUAAAUCCACUCAUUCGCACUCGCUGUAUGACCCAUAAGCAGAAACCAAAGUGUGGCAAAAUGCUUAAUUUAGAAUUUAUGAGCAAUUAAUUUUAAAGCGCUCUCUGGCCAUUAACGCCGUUACUGCUUCUCCCCCUUGACCGUAAUACACCUUUGGUCAUUAAAGAAUUAAGAAGCCAGUGUGCCAAAAAUUGAUUGUUUAGCCAAUCCGCUGAUGGAUCAAUUAUUCAAUUGUUAUAGCCAAAGAGUUGGCAAUCCAAUUUGAGCACGAGUCGUAUUCCAACAAAUAGACAGGUAGGAAGCACAUUAACUGGUAGAUUUAUGAAUAAGAAAUAAUUUAAAUAAAUUUGUUAUGCUUUAGAAAUUGUUUAUUAAGGUUAAUUUAUGAGUGUUAAAUGGCUAAAAAUUAUUUAAUUGAAGGAUAAGAAAAUGUUGUGAUGUGGUAUGAUUUAAAUAAAAAAUACAAAAAUAAAUAUAGAAAAACU
rnacentral:lncRNA from 1 species